AUCGGUUUGGAAUACAGACCUUAUGAAGCAGUUUUAGUAAAGCAGUCCUCAGUUCAAGUGUUAUCCACAGAUACCCCUUCUUCAUGAGCCUCCUCCUAAGUGCCCAAUAAGUAACGCUCUGAUACAGGCCACCAUCGCCAUAGUUUAUGGCUCAUCAAUUAAGGAAGUAUCUAUGUCUAACAAAAUGACUGGUUUAGUAAAAUGGUUCAACGCAGAUAAAGGUUUCGGCUUUAUCACUCCUGAAGAUGGCAGCAAAGACGUGUUCGUACACUUCUCUGCAAUCCAGAGUGACAGCUUUAAAACCCUGGACGAAGGCCAGAAGGUCUCUUUCACCAUCGAGAAUGGUGCUAAAGGUCCGGCUGCUGGUAACGUUACCGCACUGUAAUCUGCGCUGACAAUCGGCAGCGCUUA
rnacentral:sRNA from 1 species